CUCUUCUCCAGUUAAUGCUACAGGACGCUGGGAGAACUCCCCCUUAGACAAGAGCUGCAGACUGAAGAGGAAGCAAGUCCAGACCUGUCCAGAAUUUCCCGUUGCCCUCAGUGGAAAGAGAGUAAGACAGAGAGCGAGAGAGUGCAAGAGAGAGUGACUCCCACACAAUGCGGACCCUCAUCCUCCUCACGCUCCUGGCUGUUUUGAUGGUGGCAGCUUUCUGCUAUGAGUCCCACGAGAGUAUGGAAUCCCAUGAGUUUGUCAGUAAGAGACAAU